GACGGAGGGUGCUAGCGUUGUUCGGAAUGACUGGGCGUAAAGGGCGCGUAGGCGGCUUUUCAAGUCGGGUGUGAAAGCCCGGGGCUCAACCCCGGAACGGCAUCCGAUACUGGGAGGCUUGAGACCGGGAGAGGAGGGUGGAAUAUCCAGUGUAGAGGUGAAAUUCGUAGAUAUUGGGAAGAACACCGAUGGCGAAGGCAGCCAUCUGGACCGACACUGACGCUGAGGCGCGAAAGCGUGGGGAGCAAACAGG
rnacentral:rRNA from 1 species